rnacentral:rRNA from 1 species
AUUGAACGCUGGCGGCAUGCCUUACACAUGCAAGUCGAACGGUAACAGGUCUUCGGAUGCUGACGAGUGGCGAACGGGUGAGUAAUACAUCGGAACGUGCCUAGUAGUGGGGGAUAACUACUCGAAAGAGUGGCUAAUACCGCAUGAGAUCUACGGAUGAAAGCAGGGGAUCGCAAGACCUUGUGCUACUAGAGCGGCCGAAGGCAGAUUAGGUCGUUGGUGGGAUAAAAGCUUACCAAGCCGACGAUCUGUAGCUGGUCUGAGAGGACGAUCGGCCACACUGGAACUGAGACACGGUCCAGACUCCUACGGGAGGCAGCAGUGGGGAAUCUUGCGCAAUGGGCGAAAGCCUGACGCAGCAACGCCGCGUGGAGGAUGAAGGUCCUUGGAUUGUAAACUCCUGUCGAGCGGGAAGAAUGGCUCGGGUGCUAAUACCAUCCGGGUUUGACUGUACCGCGAGAGGAAGCCCCGGCUAACUCUGUGCCAGCCGCCGCAGUAAAAC